CAGGCUCGGGGAUCGUCAGCAACUAGUCACACUAUCAUUAUCCACUGUUUGGUACUGCUAUGUUUUGGAUUAUCUUAUGGCAUGUAUAAAAUAGACUAGUGGCGGAAGAAUAUUUUGGUUAAUGUAUAUAGCAAUGCGAAAAUGGCUUAUAUAUGUUUGAGCAUAAUGUUAUAAUCAUUUGGUAUGGAAUGGUUAAUCACUAUCAUAAUUUGUGCUAUUUAUGCUAAAAGGGCUAGUUGAAUCAUGGAAACUAUGAAAUAGG
rnacentral:lncRNA from 1 species